GUAGGUGGCAAGCGUUGUCCGGAGUUAUUGGGCGUAAAGCGCGCGCAGGCGGUUCUUUAAGUCUGAUGUGAAAGCCCACGGCUCAACCGUGGAGGGUCAUUGGAAACUGGAGAACUUGAGUACAGAAGAGGAAAGCGGAAUUCCACGUGUAGCGGUGAAAUGCGUAGAGAUGUGGAGGAACACCAGUGGCGAAGGCGGCUUUCUGGUCUGUAACUGACGCUGAGGCGCGAAAGCGUGGGGAGCAAACAGGGAUUAGAUACCCUGGUAGUCUACGCCGUAAACGAUGAGUGCUAAGUGUUAGGGGGGUUUCCGCCCCCUUAGUGCUGCAGCUAACGCAUUAAGCACUCCGCCUGGGGAUACGGCCGCAAGGCUG
rnacentral:rRNA from 1 species